rnacentral:rRNA from 1 species
CCAUGGCGCCUGUUUAUCAAAAACAUGGUUUUUUGAUUUAAUAAAAAAUCUAACCUGCUCCAUGCUAAAUGUAAAUAGCCGCAGUAUUAUGACUGUGCUAAGGUAGCAUAAUCAUUUGUCUUUUGAGUGAAGUCUGGGAUGAAGGGUUGGUCGAAGAGAUAACUAUCUUUUUAUUAAAAGGUAAAUUUAAUUAUUUAGUAAUAAGGCUAAUAUAAAUCUGAGGGACGAUAAGACCCUAUUAAACUUGAUUUAUAAUUUUGCUGGGGUGGUAAGAUAAGAGUAGGAUCUUAUCUAAAUUGACUUGUGUUGGUUGAUCCAAUAGUAUUGAGGUGACGAUAAAGUUACUAUAGGGAUAACAGCUUAAUUUUUUCUUGAAGUUCUUAUUUUAGAAAAAGUUUGAGACCUCGAUGUUGAAUUAAAGUGUCUUUUUAGUGCAGUAGCUAUUAAUGAGAAAGUCUGUUCGACUUUUAAAUCUUUACGUGAUCUGAGUUCAGACCGGCCAUGGAAAC